UCGCGUCCAUCUCCUCUCUCUCCCCAGACAACCGGAUCUCCACCUCGCCAUGGCCGCUGCUCCCUUCACGCAGGCCACUCUCUUCCCCACGCGACGCUCGCCCAGCCGAGCUCCUUCCCUGCAGCUCGCCAUGGUUGUCCCUCCCUCCUCCCUCCCCAUGGCCGACGGCCUCACCUUCCAUGGCUUCCAAGAUCUGCUCGGCAUCCAUCCUAGCGCGCGCCCCUGCUUCCUGUUUCCUGGUGGCCGACGCCCCUCCCUGAAGCUCGCCCCUGCCCUCUGUCCAGCGCCCUCCUUGCUCCUUCCCAUGGUGUGGACGCCAGCCCUCUCUUUUGUUGCCAUGGAUAGCCCGUCUCCCAUCUCCUUCCCUCUCCAACCCUAGCCCCUCUCUGCUGGCUGCCUUACCCAUGCCAGCACUUUCCCCAUGGCCGAGUUUCCCCUAUGCUUGAUGCAUGGCGCCUAGGUACAGCAGCAGCACGUUGGACCUUUGCAACCCUGGUGAGACCAGCUGCUUGCGCUAUGUUUAUUCCUCACCAAUGCCUAUGUUUGAGUAUUAAUUGUGUAUGUUUGUGUGUGUUGGUGGUAGAGGUAAAUCCCGGAAGAUUUAGAUAAGGAGAAGAAGGUUUUAGCGGGAUACCUGCCACAUGUUCGAUGAUAUGCUCGAACUGGUGGCCGUCAUCGUUCUUGCUAAAAAUCAAGUCAGAUCAUGAGGUGGUGAGCCAAGUAGUUUCUCCGGCUAUUUAGUUAAUGAAUGGUUUGGUUAGAUAAUUAUCGUUGUAGUUGUGUUCGAUGUAUG
rnacentral:lncRNA from 1 species